CAGUAGCCGCGGGAAAACGAGGGGGGCAAGCGUUGUUCGGAAUUAUUGGGCGUAAAGGGCGCGUAGGCGGAUGGUACAGUCAGAUGUGAAAUUCCUGGGCUUAACCUGGGGGCUGCAUUUGAUACGUGCUGUCUAGAGUGAGGAAGAGGGUCGUGGAAUUCCCAGUGUAGAGGUGAAAUUCGUAGAUAUUGGGAAGAACACCGGUGGCGAAGGCGGCGACCUGGUCCUUGACUGACGCUGAGGCGCGAAAGCGUGGGGAGCAAAUAGGAUUAGAUACCCCAGUAGUCCCUGUCUCUUAUAC
rnacentral:rRNA from 1 species